GACGAACGCUGGCGGCGUGCCUAAUACAUGCAAGUAGAACGCUGAAGAGAGGAGCUUGCUCUUCUUGGAUGAGUUGCGAACGGGUGAGUAACGCGUAGGUAACCUGCCUUGUAGCGGGGGAUAACUAUUGGAAACGAUAGCUAAUACCGCAUAACAAUGGGUGACACAUGUCAUUUAUUUGAAAGGGGCAAUUGCUCCACUACAAGAUGGACCUGCGUUGUAUUAGCUAGUAGGUGAGGUAACGGCUCACCUAGGCGACGAUACAUAGCCGACCUGAGAGGGUGAUCGGCCACACUGGGACUGAGACACGGCCCAGACUCCUACGGGAGGCAGCAGUAGGGAAUCUUCGGCAAUGGGGGCGACCCUGACCGAGCAACGCCGCGUGAGUGAAGAAGGUUUUCGGAUCGUAAAGCUCUGUUGUAAGUCAAGAACGAGUGUGAGAGUGGAAAGUUCACACUGUGACGGUAGCUUACCAGAAAGGGACGGCCAACUACGUGC
rnacentral:rRNA from 1 species